rnacentral:rRNA from 1 species
UACGUAGGCAGCGAGCGUUGUUCGGAGUUACUGGGCGUAAAGGGUGUGUAGGCGGUUGUUUAAGUUUGGUGUGAAAUCUCCCGGCUCAACUGGGAGGGUGCGCCGAAUACUGAAUGACUUCGAGUGCGGGAGAGGUGAGUGGAAUUCCUGGUGUACCGGUGAAAUGGGUUGAUAUCAGGAGGAACACCGAUGGCGAAGGCAGCUCACUGGCCGUUAUCUGACGCUGAGGCGCGAAAGCGUGGGUAGCAAACAGG